GGGACUGUAGCUUAGUGGUAGAGUGCUUAUCUUGCAUGCAUGAAGCCCUGGGUUCAAUUCCUCAGUACCC
rnacentral:tRNA from 1 species